UGCUUCUAGUAACUCUAUUAGAAGUUCAUCCUGCCCAGUGACUUAUUUUCAACGGCCGCGGUAUCCUGACCGUGCAAAGGUAGCAUAAUCAUUUGCCUUUUAAUUGAAGGCUGGUAUGAAUGGACACACGAAACUAAAGCUGUCUCACCUCUACUUAUAAAAAUUAGCCCCCAGGUGAAGAUACCUGGAUUUUUCUAAAAGACAAGAAGACCCUAUAGAGUUUUAAAAUUUUAUUUCCUCUCUCAAUCUAUAUUUUUUGGUUGGGGCGACCAAGGAUUACUUAAAUCAUCCUUUCAUAUAAAGAGACACCCCUUAUUUCAAAGACCCUAUUUUAUUGAUCUUCAAAAUUAACUACCUUAGGGAUAACAGGCUUAUCUUCCUAGAGAGCUCAUAUUGAUAGGAAGGUUUGGCACCUCGAUGUUGGCUUAGAGUAACCCGGAAAUGCAGAAGUUUCCUUUGGUUAGUUUGUUCAACUAUUAAAACUCU
rnacentral:rRNA from 1 species